UGAUUGGAUAACUUUCUGCUAUCUAGACAAAAAAUGUUUAAUAUUAUUUAUGAAAUUUCCUUAUGAAAUGUUAGAUAAUAGAUGAAUUGACAGCAAAACAAAAUUUUAUGAUUUUUCUUCUUCUGGUAAUUAUUGAUUAGUAUUAUUUAAGUGUAAAAUACAAUAAAUAAUAUAUAAUGUUUAAAAAAAAAGUUGCAUAAAAAUAUAUCCUACCUUUUGUAUUAACUGUUCAUUGUUU